rnacentral:rRNA from 1 species
CAUUACACAAAUAUGAAGGCGGGCUGGAACCUCUCGGGGUUACAGCCUUGCUGAAUUAUUCACCCUUGUCUUUUGCGUACUUCUUGUUUCCUUGGUGGGUUCGCCCACCACUAGGACAAACAUAAACCUUUUGUAAUUGCAAUCAGCGUCAGUAACAAAUUAAUAAUUACAACUUUCAACAACGGAUCUCUUGGUUCUGGCAUCGAUGAAGAACGCAGCGAAAUGCGAUAAGUAGUGUGAAUUGCAGAAUUCAGUGAAUCAUCGAAUCUUUGAACGCACAUUGCGCCCUUUGGUAUUCCAAAGGGCAUGCCUGUUCGAGCGUCAUUUGUACCCUCAAGCUUUGCUUGGUGUUGGGCGUCUUGUCUCUAGCUUUGCUGGAGACUCGCCUUAAAGUAAUUGGCAGCCGGCCUACUGGUUUCGGAGCGCAGCACAAGUCGCACUCUCUAUCAGCAAAGGUCUAGCAUCCAUUAAGCCUUUUUUUCAACUUUUGACCUCGGAUCAGGUAGGGAUACCCGCUGAACUUAAGCAUAUCAAUAAGCGGAGGAAAAGAAACCAACAGGGAUUGCCCUAGUAACGGCGAGUGAAGCGGCAACAGCUCAAUUUGAAAUCUGGCUCUUUUAGAGUCCGAGUUGUAAUUUGCAGAGGGCGCUUUGGCUUUGGCAGCGGUCCAAGUUCCUUGGAACAGGACGUCACAGAGGGUGAGAAUCCCGUACGUGGUCGCUGGCUA